GUUGAAAUACCGGUUCUCGUUCGACCAGCGAAGUUAAAAAAGGUCGGGCCUGGUGAGUACUUAAAUGGGUGACCACUUAGGAAUCCCAGGUGCUGUA